rnacentral:rRNA from 1 species
CCUACGGGGGGCAGCAGUCGAGAAUCAUUCACAAUGGGGGAAACCCUGAUGGUGCGACGCCGCGUGGGGGAAUGAAGGUCUUCGGAUUGUAAACCCCUGUCAUGUGGGAGCAAAUUAAAAAGAUAGUACCACAAGAGGAAGAGACGGCUAACUCUGUGCCAGCAGCCGCGGUAAUACAGAGGUCUCAAGCGUUGUUCGGAAUCACUGGGCGUAAGGCGUGCGUAGGCUGUUUCGUAAGUCGUGUGUGAAAGGCGCGGGCUCAACCCGCGGACGGCACAAGAUACUGCGAGACUAGAGUAAUGGAGGGGGAACCGGAAUUCUCGGUGUAGCAGUGAAAUGCGUAGAUAUCGAGAGGAACACUCGUGGCGAAGGCGGGUUCCUGGACAUUAACUGACGCUGAGGCACGAAGGCCAGGGGAGCGAAAGGGAUUAGAUACCCUUGUAGUC